rnacentral:rRNA from 1 species
CUGAAGGGACUGCGGAGACAUUAUUGAUUAAUGGACGGAGUUGCUGCUGGCCUUUAUCGGGCAUUGUGCACACUUCGCUUCAUCCAAUUCCUAUACCUCUGUGCACCUUUCAUAGGUUGGUUUGUGGCUCUCUGCCUUGCUGCAGAAGUAGCUCUGACCUUCCCGUGUUUACAUUUAUACGUCUCAGUUUAGAAUGUCUUAUUGCAGUCUAAUGCAUAUAAUACAACUUUCAGCAACGGAUCUCUUGGCUCUCGCAUCGAUGAAGAACGCAGCGAAAUGCGAUAAGUAAUGUGAAUUGCAGAAUUCAGUGAAUCAUCGAAUCUUUGAACGCACCUUGCGCUCCUUGGUAUUCCGAGGAGCAUGCCUGUUUGAGUGUCAUGGUAUUCUCAACCCUCCAAAUCUUUGCGGAAAUGGAUGGGCUUGGAUGUGGAGGUUUAUGCUGGCUUCUAUAUGAGGUCGGCUCCUCUGAAAUGCAUUAGCACGAAUCUUACUUAAUGUGCCUCAGUGUGAUAAUUGUCUACGCUGUGGUCAUGAUGUAUAAUAUAUUUGCGCUUCUAACUGUCCUGUUGUGGGACAAUUUCUUUGACAUCUGACCUCAAAUCAGGUAGGACUACCCGCUGAACUUAAGCAUAUCAUAAACCGGGAGGAAA